GUAUUGGUGGUUCAGUGGUAGAAUUCUCACCUUCCAUGAGGGAGACCCACGUUCGAUUCUCAGCCAACACA
rnacentral:tRNA from 1 species